GAACGUUUUGCCAAGCAAUGGAACAACUUGUAGAGUAUUGGCGUACUUCCGAUGCUGAGAAAAUUGCAAGUAGGAACGCUAAAAAUCGGCGAGCUCACGGCAUAGCUCAUACCACAGGCGUACUACUUUCUCUCAGAUACGGCAUGAGAUAUUUCCUGAGUAGCAGUUGGCUUUUUCUGGAAUGCGGGCGUAUCAAGAUUAUGACUAAUUUUUGUUUUUGUAACCCACGAACGAA